UGUCGUUCUUUACUACUUGGAUAUCCACGGUAAUUCUAGAGCUAAUACAUGCGUCCAGACCCGACUUUUGCGAAAGGGUGGGCCUUAUUAAACACUCACCCCCCCCGGCUUGCCCGGUUUCAAGGUGAUUGAUGGUAAUCGAACGAAUCGCAUGCUUCGCGAUGCUUAUUCCUUCCAGUUUCCGAACCAAUCACUUUCCAACGGAAGGGAAUGGGCCUACCGGGGUUUUAACGGGAAACGAAAAAUUAGGGUUGGAUUCCGAAAAGGAACCCGGAAAAACGGUUACCCCUUCUAAGGAAGGCGCCAGGCCCCCAAUUUACCCAUCCUGGACCAAGGAGGGAAGGGAAAAAAAAAACCAAAAUAAGGCUUUUUUUCUUGUUAUUGGAAUGAACACCAUUUCAACACCUUGUCCAAUAUUCGUUGGGGGGGCAGGUCAGAU
rnacentral:rRNA from 1 species